rnacentral:rRNA from 1 species
CAGCAGUGGGGAAUAUUGCACAAUGGGGGAAACCCUGAUGCAGCGACGCCGCGUGGAGGAAGAAGGUCUUCGGAUUGUAAACUCCUGUUGUUGAGGAAGAUAAUGACGGUACUCAACAAGGAAGUGACGGCUAACUACGUGCCAGCAGCCGCGGUAAAACGUAGGUCACAAGCGUUGUCCGGAAUUACUGGGUGUAAAGGGAGCGCAGGCGGGCGAUCAAGUUGGAAGUGAAAUCCAUGGGCUCAACCCAUGAACUGCUUUCAAAACUGAUUGUCUUGAGUAGUGCAGAGGUAGGCGGAAUUCCCGGUGUAGCGGUGGAAUGCGUAGAUAUCGGGAGGAACACCAGUGGCGAAGGCGGCCUACUGGGCACCAACUGACGCUGAGGCUCGAAAGUGUGGGUAGCAAACAGGAUUAGAUACCCUGGUAGUCCACACCGUAAACGAUGAUUACUAGGUGUUGGAGGAUUGACCCCUUCAGUGCCGCAGUUAACACAAUAAGUAAUCCACCUGGGGAGUACGACCGCAAGGUUGAAACUCAAAGGAAUUGACGGGGGCCCGCACAAGCAGUGGAGUAUGUGGUUUAAUUCGAAGCAACGCGAAGAACCUUACCAGGUCUUGACAUCCCGAUGACCGCUUCUUAAUCGAAGCUUUUCUUCGGAACAUCGGAGACAGGUGGUGCAUGGUUGUCGUCAGCUCGUGUCGUGAGAUGUUGGGUUAAGUCC